rnacentral:lncRNA from 1 species
CCAAGAGCAGCUCACGAUUCACUCAAAACAACACCAAAAACUUAGGCUCAAAACUCACAGUUUUAUAGUGAAACAAAGCAAGAUCACUCCACUCACAUGCAUUCUUCUUUCAAGAUAGUAAUAUGUCUCACAAGUCCAGAUUUAAGAGUACCAACUCAAGGCUAAAGCAAGUGGAAAAAUGUAUAAUCCAACCUCAACACCAAAAGAAGUCUAAACCAAGACAACACAUGGUAGCAGCCA